UUGUGAUUUACUCGAGAAAAUGGCUAAGUUGUGAAUACUUGCUUUUGCUUUAAAGACCUGUAUGGAUGAGCUGGGCGGGGCUGUUAUUUGUAGUAGGAGUCGUGCAAAUGGCAGGGCUCAGUGGCUUUACAGAUGAUUUUGCACUCAUCCUUCAGUUUUCCCGGAUUCCUUCCUUUUACAGCCGCGGUGCGGGGAGGAGUCAUGGCAGUGCCCUUUGUGGAGGACUGGGACUUGGUGCAAACCCUGGGAGAAGGUGCCUAUGGAGAAGUUCAACUUGCUGUGAAUAGAAUAACUGAAGAAGCAGUUGCAGUGAAGAUUGUAGAUAUGAAGCGUGCCAUAGACUGUCCAGAAAAUAUUAAAAAAGAGAUCUGUAUCAAUAAAAUGCUAAAUCAUGAGAACGUGGUGAAAUUCUAGGGUCAUAGGCGAGAAGGCAAUAUCCAGUAUCUGUUUCCGGAGUACUGUAGUGGGGAGAGCUUUUUGACAGAAUAGCACCAGACAUAGGCAUGCCUGAACAGGAUGCUCAGAGAUUCUUCCAUCAACUCAUGGCAGGGGUGGUUUAUCUACAUGGUAUUGGAAUAACUCACAGGGAUAUUAAACCAGAAAAUCUCCUAUUGGAUGAAAGGGAUAACCUCAAAAUCUCUGACUUUGGGUUGGCAACAGUGUUUUGACAUAAUAAUCGGGAACGUUUGUUGAACAAGAUGUGUGGUACUUUACCUUAUGUUGCUCCAGAACUUCUGAAGAGAAAAGAAUUUCAUGCAGAACCAUUUGAUGUUUGGUCCUGUGGAAUAGUGCUUACUGCAAUGCUGGCUGGAGAAUUGCCAUGGGACCAGCCCAGUGAUAGUUGUCAGGAAUAUUCUGAUUGGAAAGAAAAAAAAACAUACCUCAACCCUUGGGAAAAAAUCGAUUCUGCUCCUCUAGCUCUGCUGCAUAAAAUCCUAGUUGAGAAUCCAUCAGCAAGAAUUACCAUCCCAGAUAUCAAAAAAGAUAGAUGGUACAAUAAACCGCUCAAGAAAGGGGCAAAGAGGCCCCAAGUCACUUCAGGUGGUGUGUCAGAGUCUCCCAGUGGAUUCUCCAAGCACAUUCAAUCCAAUUUGGACUUCUCUCCAUCUAAUAGUUCUAGUGAAGAAAAUGUGAAGUACUCCAGUUCCCAGCCAGAACCACGGACAAGUCUGUCCUUAUGGGAUGCCAGUCCCUCAUAUAUUGAUAAACUAGUGCAAGGAAUCAGUUUUUCCCAACCCACGUGUCCUGAUCAUAUGCUUCUGAAUAGUCAGUUACUUGGCACCCCAGGAUCCUCACAGAACCCCUGGCAGCGCCUGGUCAAAAGAAUGACACGAUUCUUUACCAAAUUGGAUGCAGACAGAUCUUAUCAGUGCUUGAAAGAGACUUGUGAGAAGUUGGGCUAUCAAUGGAAGAAGAGUUGUAUGAAUCAGGUUACUGUAUCAACAACUGAUAGGAGAAACAAUAAACUCAUUUUCAAAGUGAAUUUGGUAGAAAUGGAUGAGAAGAUAUUGGUUGACUUCCGGCUUUCUAAGGGUGAUGGUUUGGAGUUCAAGAGACACUUCCUGAAGAUUAAAGGGAAGCUGAGUGAUGUGGUGAGCAGUCAGAAGGUCUGGCUUCCUGGCACAUGAUUAAUCCAUUAGGGGAUUCCUGGUGAAUAUAGUGCUGCUAUGUUGGCAUUAUUCUUCCUAGAGAAGAUUAUCUUAUUCUGCAAACUGCAAACGAUGGUUCCUGAAGAGUUCACGACCCUCUUUAUCCAAACACCUUCUAAUUCUUUUUGUAUGUUCUACAUACAAAUAAUACCUGUAUUUUAAUUGUAAGUAAAACU